rnacentral:misc_RNA from 1 species
UCAUCCUCUAGGCUCUAGC